rnacentral:rRNA from 1 species
AUACGGAGGAUCCGAGCGUUAUCCGGAUUUAUUGGGUUUAAAGGGAGCGUAGGCGGACGCUUAAGUCAGUUGUGAAAGUUUGCGGCUCAACCGUAAAAUUGCAGUUGAUACUGGGUGUCUUGAGUACAGUAGAGGCAGGCGGGAUUCGUGGGGGAGAGGGGAAAUGCUUAGAUAUCACGAAGAACUCCGAUUGCGAAGGCAGCCUGCUGGACUGUAACUGACGCUGAUGCUCGAAAGUGUGGGUAUCAAACAGGAUUAGAUACCCUGGUAGUCCACACAGUAAACGAUGAAUACUCGCUGUUUGCGAUAUACAGUAAGCGGCCAAGCGAAAGCGUUAAGUAUUCCACCUGGGGAGUACGCCGGCAACGGUGAAACGAAAAGGAAUUGACG